rnacentral:rRNA from 1 species
GGUUAAGCGACUAAGCGUACACGGUGGAUGCCCAGGCAGUCAGAGGCGAUGAAGGACGUGCUAAUCUGCGAUAAGCGUCGGUAAGGUGAUAUGAACCGUUAUAACCGGCGAUUUCCGAAUGGGGAAACCCAGUGUGUUUCGACACACUAUCAUUAACUGAAUCCAUAGGUUAAUGAGGCGAACCGGGGGAACUGAAACAUCUAAGUACCCCGAGGAAAAGAAAUCAACCGAGAUUCCCCCAGUAGCGGCGAGCGAACGGGGAGCAGCCCAGAGCCUGAAUCAGUGUGUGUGUUAGUGGAAGCGUCUGGAAAGGCGCGCGAUACAGGGUGACAGCCCCGUACACAAAAAUGCACAUGCUGUGAGCUCGAUGAGUAGGGCGGGACACGUGGUAUCCUGUCUGAAUAUGGGGGGACCAUCCUCCAAGGCUAAAUACUCCUGACUGACCGAUAGUGAACCAGUACCGUGAGGGAAAGGCGAAAAGAACCCCGGCGAGGGGAGUGAAAAAGAACCUGAAACCGUGUACGUACAAGCAGUGGGAGCACGCUUAGGCGUGUGACUGCGUACCUUUUGUAUAAUGGGUCAGCGACUUAUAUUCUGUAGCAAGGUUAACCGAAUAGGGGAGCCGAAGGGAAACCGAGUCUUAACUGGGCGUUAAGUUGCAGGGUAUAGACCCGAAACCCGGUGAUCUAGCCAUGGGCAGGUUGAAGGUUGGGUAACACUAACUGGAGGACCGAACCGACUAAUGUUGAAAAAUUAGCGGAUGACUUGUGGCUGGGGGUGAAAGGCCAAUCAAACCGGGAGAUAGCUGGUUCUCCCCGAAAGCUAUUUAGGUAGCGCCUCGUGAAUUCAUCUCCGGGGGUAGAGCACUGUUUCGGCAAGGGGGUCAUCCCGACUUACCAACCCGAUGCAAACUGCGAAUACCGGAGAAUGUUAUCACGGGAGACACACGGCGGGUGCUAACGUCCGUCGUGAAGAGGGAAACAACCCAGACCGCCAGCUAAGGUCCCAAAGUCAUGGUUAAGUGGGAAACGAUGUGGGAAGGCCCAGACAGCCAGGAUGUUGGCUUAGAAGCAGCCAUCAUUUAAAGAAAGCGUAAUAGCUCACUGGUCGAGUCGGCCUGCGCGGAAGAUGUAACGGGGCUAAACCAUGCACCGAAGCUGCGGCAGCGACACUAUGUGUUGUUGGGUAGGGGAGCGUUCUGUAAGCCUGUGAAGGUGUGCUGUGAGGCAUGCUGGAGGUAUCAGAAGUGCGAAUGCUGACAUAAGUAACGAUAAAGCGGGUGAAAAGCCCGCUCGCCGGAAGACCAAGGGUUCCUGUCCAACGUUAAUCGGGGCAGGGUGAGUCGACCCCUAAGGCGAGGCCGAAAGGCGUAGUCGAUGGGAAACAGGUUAAUAUUCCUGUACUUGGUGUUACUGCGAAGGGGGGACGGAGAAGGCUAUGUUGGCCGGGCGACGGUUGUCCCGGUUUAAGCGUGUAGGCUGGUUUUCCAGGCAAAUCCGGAAAAUCAAGGCUGAGGCGUGAUGACGAGGCACUACGGUGCUGAAGCAACAAAUGCCCUGCUUCCAGGAAAAGCCUCUAAGCAUCAGGUAACAUCAAAUCGUACCCCAAACCGACACAGGUGGUCAGGUAGAGAAUACCAAGGCGCUUGAGAGAACUCGGGUGAAGGAACUAGGCAAAAUGGUGCCGUAACUUCGGGAGAAGGCACGCUGAUAUGUAGGUGAAGUCCCUCGCGGAUGGAGCUGAAAUCAGUCGAAGAUACCAGCUGGCUGCAACUGUUUAUUAAAAACACAGCACUGUGCAAACACGAAAGUGGACGUAUACGGUGUGACGCCUGCCCGGUGCCGGAAGGUUAAUUGAUGGGGUUAGCCGCAAGGCGAAGCUCUUGAUCGAAGCCCCGGUAAACGGCGGCCGUAACUAUAACGGUCCUAAGGUAGCGAAAUUCCUUGUCGGGUAAGUUCCGACCUGCACGAAUGGCGUAAUGAUGGCCAGGCUGUCUCCACCCGAGACUCAGUGAAAUUGAACUCGCUGUGAAGAUGCAGUGUACCCGCGGCAAGACGGAAAGACCCCGUGAACCUUUACUAUAGCUUGACACUGAACAUUGAGCCUUGAUGUGUAGGAUAGGUGGGAGGCUUUGAAGUGUGGACGCCAGUCUGCAUGGAGCCGACCUUGAAAUACCACCCUUUAAUGUUUGAUGUUCUAACGUUGACCCGUAAUCCGGGUUGCGGACAGUGUCUGGUGGGUAGUUUGACUGGGGCGGUCUCCUCCUAAAGAGUAACGGAGGAGCACGAAGGUUGGCUAAUCCUGGUCGGACAUCAGGAGGUUAGUGCAAUGGCAUAAGCCAGCUUGACUGCGAGCGUGACGGCGCGAGCAGGUGCGAAAGCAGGUCAUAGUGAUCCGGUGGUUCUGAAUGGAAGGGCCAUCGCUCAACGGAUAAAAGGUACUCCGGGGAUAACAGGCUGAUACCGCCCAAGAGUUCAUAUCGACGGCGGUGUUUGGCACCUCGAUGUCGGCUCAUCACAUCCUGGGGCUGAAGUAGGUCCCAAGGGUAUGGCUGUUCGCCAUUUAAAGUGGUACGCGAGCUGGGUUUAGAACGUCGUGAGACAGUUCGGUCCCUAUCUGCCGUGGGCGCUGGAGAACUGAGGGGGGCUGCUCCUAGUACGAGAGGACCGGAGUGGACGCAUCACUGGUGUUCGGGUUGUCAUGCCAAUGGCACUGCCCGGUAGCUAAAUGCGGAAGAGAUAAGUGCUGAAAGCAUCUAAGCACGAAACUUGCCCCGAGAUGAGUUCUCCCUGAC